rnacentral:lncRNA from 13 species
GGGUUUGGGGUUUGGGUUUUUUUUUUUUCCUCAUAUCUUCUCAGGUGAAGAACACCUCUUUGUCAUCAAGACAAAGUAGAUUCUUUAAGAGGAUUGUUUUCAACAAGGGUGCUCCGUAGUGGAUAUUGGCCGUGACCUGCUAGAAAAUGAAUUGAGCCAUUCAAACAUGUUAGUAGCAUAGUACUGAAAAUUUAUUUUCCCAUUCUAAUGAAGGAUGAUGGCUUCUUCAAUCAUAAACUUGGUCUAGUUUUACUUAAAUAUUGAAAGUGUCAUGCAUGUAAGAUCUAUUGUGCUGGGCUUCUGAAGAGAGAAGAAAAUAGUCACUUCCUGGGCUUGAUUGGGCCUGAUGUGUUAUGAUAUGUAGGAUAAUUUAUCCUUGUUGUAAGUCCAAUUAAGGAGAAAUACUUCUCAGACAGCAGAGGUUUUGAUGGGCUAACCGAGGCUUACAUGGAUUACAAAGAUGUCCUCUGAAAGGAAAAUUGACUUUGAGAUGGUCCAUUCUACUUUUUGAGAUGGAAAAACAAUUUUUCUUAGAAAAGUACUGUUACUGAUAAAUGCCAGAAGUCAGUUCCUAUCUCUGAGUUAAUCACAGAUACUACAAGGCUGAAUACUGACCCAUCUUUUACUGUUUCACAGGCAUAAAAUGGGAGAGCAAAAUGCAGUUCAGCAGAAAACAGGAGCACGCAGGCGCUGGGGCCACAUCAGCUGAAUGAGAAUUCCACCUCCUUCCUCUCCUGGCUGUGUGACUUUGACAAGAUCUCGUUCAAAUCAUCUUAUGAAGAGAACUAUCGGUUACAGGCAGCACUUUUCAAUUGUGACCUUUUUAUUUAAUUCUAAAAUUAUUUGGUUAAGGUCUAUCUCUUAUUAGACACCAUGAAGAUAAGUAUGACAUCUCUUUCACUCACAGCAUAUCCAGACUAUUUUUGUACAGUUCUG